rnacentral:rRNA from 1 species
GAUGAACGCUGGCGGUGUGCCUAAUACAUGCAAGUCGAGCGAACAGACGAGGAGCUUACUCCUCUGACGUUAGCGGCGGACGGGUGAGUAACACGUGGAUAACCUACCUAUAAGACUGGGAUAACUUCGGGAAACCGGAGCUAAUACCGGAUAACAUGUUGAACCGCAUGGUUCAACAGUGAAAGACGGUCUUGCUGUCACUUAUAGAUGGAUCCGCGUCGCAUUAGUUAGUUGGUAAGGUAACGGCUUACCAAGGCAACGAUGCGUAGCCGACCUGAGAGGGUGAUCGGCCACACUGGAACUGAGACACGGUCCAGACUCCUACGGGAGGCAGCAGUAGGGAAUCUUCCGCAAAGGGCGAAAGCCUGACGGAGCAACGCCGCGUGAGUGAAGAAGGUCUUCGGAUCGUAAAACUCUGUUAUUAGGGAAGAACAAAUGUGUAAGUAACUAUGCACGUCUUGACGGUACCUAAUCAGAAAGCCACGGCUAACUACGUG